rnacentral:piRNA from 1 species
GGAUGAAUGUCAGUUGCAAGGAUAACGUGU